rnacentral:rRNA from 1 species
AGUGAACGCUGGCGGUAGGCCUAACACAUGCCAGUCGAACGGCAGCACAGUAAGAGCUUGCUCUUACGGGUGGCGAGUGGCGGACGGGUGAGGAAUACAUCGGAAUCUACUUUUUCGUGGGGGAUAACGUAGGGAAACUUACGCUAAUACCGCAUACGACCUACGGGUGAAAGCAGGGGAUCUUCGGACCUUGCGCGAUUGAAUGAGCCGAUGUCGGAUUAGCUAGUUGGCGGGGUAAAGGCCCACCAAGACGACGAUCCGUAGCUGGUCUGAGAGGAUGAUCAGCCACACUGGAACUGAGACACGGUCCAGACUCCUACGGGAGGCAGCAGUGGGGAAUAUUGGACAAUGGGCGCAAGCCUGAUCCAGCCAUACCGCGUGUGUGAAGAAGGCCUUCGGGUUGUAAAGCCCUUUUGUUGGGAAAGAAAAGCAGCAAGUUAAUACCCCGCUGUUCUGACGGUACCCAAAGAAUAAGCACCGGCUAACUUCGUG